GGGGUGACGGGAGUUUGUCCCCUCAGGUGAUGGGCCGGAAGGGCCUGAUGGGGUGACAGGGGGGUGACAGGGCCGUGUCCCCUCAGGUUAUGGACCGGAAGGGGCCCGUGACGGAGGCCCAGGGGGUGGAGGUGGCCCUGAGGUGACAGGGGGGUGACAGGAGUUUGUCCCCUCAGGUGAUGGGCCGGAAGGGCCCGGUUGUGGAGGCCCAGGGGGUGGAGGUGUCCCUGGGGUGACAGGAGUAGGUGACAGGGGGGUGACAGGAGUUUGUCCCCUCAGGUGAUGGGCCUCAAAGGCCCGGUGACAAAGGCCCAGGGGGUGGAGGUGGCCCUGGGGUGACAGGAGUAGGUGACAGGGGGGUGACAGGGCCGUGUCCCCUCAGGUGAUGGGCUGGAAGGGCCCGGUGACGGAGGCCCAGGGGGUGGAGGUGGCCCUGGGGUGACAGGGGUGUGUCGUGAGGUGACAGGGGGGUGACAGGAGUUUGUCCCCUCAGGUGAUGGGCCGGAAGGGCCCGGUGACAGAAGCCCAGGGGGUGGAGGUGG